ACGUGUUCAGAGGGGUGUAUUUGGGGUCUGUGAAUAUUUUGGGGCCCCCCUGACCCCAUUUUCCCCCCUCCAGUCUCAGACCAUCCAGGAUGUGUUCAGGGGGGUGUAUUUGGGGUCUGUGGAUAUUUUGGGGUCCCCCCUGACCCCAUUUCCCCCUCUCCAGGCUCAGACCAUCCAGGAUGUGUUCAGAGGGGUGUAUGUGGGGUCUGUGGAUAUUUUGGGGCCCCCCCUGACCCCAUUUCCCCCCCCCCAUUCAGGCUCAGACCGUCGGGGAUGUUUUCGCUCGGCAGCUCCUGCAGCUGGGGGGGCUCAGUGGGGGCAGGGCUGUCUCUGUCCUGAGCCGCUUCCCCACCCCUGCCAGCCUCAUGGAUGCCCUGGUGGACCCCCAAAAGUGCCAGGACGUGCUCAGUGCCCUGCGCUGCGGCCCCUCGGGGAGGAACCUGGGCCCCUCCCUCAGCAGGUCCCUCGUGCAGCUCUACGGGACCCCGGGGCCACUGCCCUGAGGGGACACCCCCUGUCCCCCCAUUGUCACCCUCGAUACCACCUGUCACCCCAUCGUCACCCCAUUGUCACCCCAUUGUCACCCUAUUGUCACUCCAUUGUCACCCCAUUGUCACCCCAUUAUCCCCUGUCCCUCCUUGUCACCCCAUUGUCACCCCAUUGUCCCCCCUGUCAC